rnacentral:rRNA from 1 species
GUGGGGAAUAUUGGACAAUGGGGGGAACCCUGAUCCAGCCAUGCCGCGUGUGUGAAGAAGGCCUUUUGGUUGUAAAGCACUUUAAGCGAGGAGGAGGCUACCGAGAUUAAUACUCUUGGAUAGUGGACGUUACUCGCAGAAUAAGCACCGGCUAACUCUGUGCCAGCAGCCGCGGUAAUACAGAGGGUGCAAGCGUUAAUCGGAUUUACUGGGCGUAAAGCGCGCGAAGGUGGCCAAUUAAGUCAAAUGUGAAAUCCCCGAGCUUAACUUGGGAAUUGCAUUCGAUACUGGUUGGCUAGAGUAUGGGAGAGGAUGGUAGAAUUCCAGGUGUAGCGGUGAAAUGCGUAGAGAUCUGGAGGAAUACCGAUGGCGAAGGCAGCCAUCUGGCCUAAUACUGACACUGAGGUGCGAAAGCAUGGGGAGCAAACAGGAUUAGAAACCCGUGUAGUCC